UAUCUGGAGGACUAGUGGUUAGGCCACAGUGCUCUCACCGCUGUGGCCCAGGUUUGAUUCCUGGCCAGGGAA
rnacentral:tRNA from 1 species